AGUGAACGCUGGCGGUAGGCCUAACACAUGCAAGUCGAACGGCAGCACAGUAAGAGCUUGCUCUUACGGGUGGCGAGUGGCGGACGGGUGAGGAAUACAUCGGAAUCUACUUUUUCGUGGGGGAUAACGUAGGGAAACUUACGCUAAUACCGCAUACGACCUACGGGUGAAAGCAGGGGAUCUUCGGACCUUGCGCGAUUGAAUGAGCCGAUGUCGGAUUAGCUAGUUGGCGGGGUAAAGGCCCACCAAGGCGACGAUCCGUAGCUGGUCUGAGAGGAUGAUCAGCCACACUGGAACUGAGACACGGUCCAGACUUCUACGGGAGGCAGCAGUGGGGAAUAUUGGACAAAGGGCGCAAGCCUGAUCCAGCCAUACCGCGUGGGUGAAGAAGGCCUUCGGGUUGUAAAGCCCUUUUGUUGGGAAAGAAAAGCAGCAGGUUAAUACCCAGCUGUUCUGACGGUACCCAAAGAAUAAGCACCGGCUAACUUCGUG
rnacentral:rRNA from 1 species